rnacentral:misc_RNA from 1 species
CUCAAGUUCAAAGUUUGAAAUCCUUUCUUGAUGAGCAAAAUUUAGAAUUACGAGUUAAGACAGCUAAUGAAGCUGAGGCCAUAUCCCAGCAGAGGCUCGCCACGACAGAAGCUGACAUUGCUGAUCUGAGACAGAGAUUGGAAGCUUCCAAAAGGGACAUUUCUAGACUUUCUGAUGUUCUGAAAUCCAAAAAUGAGGAAAAUGAGGCCUACUUAUCUGAAAUAGAGAUAAUUGGACAAGCAUAUGAUGACAUGCAAACUCAAAACCAGCAUCUGUUGCAGCAAAUCACAGAAAGGGAUGACUAUAAUAUUAAGCUUGUUUUGGAAGGUGUGAGGGCAAGACAGCUGCGGGAUUCUCUACUCAUGGACAAACGAACCAUGGAAAGGGAGAUUCAACAAGCAAAUAUUUCUCUUGAUUUCUAUAAUGUGAAAGCGGCAAGAAUUGAAGAUCAGUUAAAAAUUUGUUUUGACCAGGUUCAUAAACUUA